UGAACCUGCGGAUGGAUCAUUUU
rnacentral:rRNA from 1 species